rnacentral:rRNA from 1 species
CCUACGGGAGGCAGCAGUGGGGAAUAUUGCACAAUGGGGGAAACCCUGAUGCAGCGACGCCGCGUGAGUGAGGAAGUAUUUCGGUAUGUAAAGCUCUAUCAGCAGGGAAGAAAAUGACGGUACCUGACCAAGAAGCCCCGGCUAACUACGUGCCAGCAGCCGCGGUAAUACGUAGGGGGCAAGCGUUAUCCGGAUUUACUGGGUGUAAAGGGAGCGUAGACGGUUAAUCAAGUCAGAAGUGAAAGGCCGGGGCUCAACCUUGGGACUGCUUUGGAAACUGAGUAGCUGGAGUGCAGGAGAGGUAAGCGGAAUUCCUAGUGUAGCGGUGAAAUGCGUAGAUAUUAGGAGGAACACCAGUGGCGAAGGCGGCUUACUGGACUGUAACUGACGUUGAGGCUCGAAAGCGUGGGGAGCAAACAGGAUUAGAUACCCCGGUAGUC